CAUUUUGACAAUGCCUGUCAUAUUGUUCUUUGACAGAACAAAGGUCUCUCUUGAGCAGAUUACUGGUACAAGGGGGUGCUGUGACGUCAAAUGUAUUGUCUUCGGUCAUGAUCGGUCGCGGUUGAUUUGAACGCCAGUCGGUUGGUGUGUGUGAUGCGGAGAACAUCGCGGGAACACUUUCUCCGAUUUCAAACGUAAAAAUGCCUUCAAAUUUUCCGGAACAAAUAAAAACGGCUGCAGCAGAAGAGGUGACUGACCCCUCGGCCCAUGAGGUGUGAAAGCGAAAAUGAUGAGUGCCAGUCUUCAGAAUGACGAGGUGGCAGUGCCCAGUUUAAGCAGGGUCAUGGAACAACUCUUCCCUCCGUGAAAAGACCUCCAUGGAGACAGAAAUAACUCUGGGCCAAGUCUCAGAAGAAACAUACCUUAACCCGACGUCACCAACCAGGGAAGGACACAUUUUCCAGUGGUCAUUCCAUUCUGCUACACUAGGAUAUCAAUCCUACCAAACUGGAGCGCCACCUGUUCACAAAUGUUGUGCCUUCAUAGCUUUUUGUUAGAAAUAUCUUUUUGUAAAACCUAUUAGUGAUUCUUAAAUAUCGACAGAUGAAGAUACCAGUUCAAGUUGAACAUUUGAAUUUGUCCUAAACAUUUCAAAUGCUAGAUUGAAAGUUUCACAAUCAGUGGUUGUUUGUACAUUUCAUCGUUGGUGUCCGUUCAUAAUCCAGGACAAAAUUUGACACGUCCUUCCUGUGCUGGUCGUUCAAAUUGCAUUAUCCCGUUAAUGAUGUCUUUUAACGUGGCGUUAAGUUGAUUGGACUUAACUGCAUGAGGUAACGCCUAGUUAGUGUCUUGACUUUGUCGGCAACAAGCGGUUCCUGUGAGGAACAAUCAGGACCAAGGGUGUUGUCGCACCACUUUCGCAGUCACAAUCACAUCAGAAUUAUCAGGGUGAUCAGGUCACAGAUCGCCGAUACUUCAGGGGAGUUAUUGUAGAAUAGAUUAUAGAAUUUAUUGUUCAAUAAAGAUAUUAAAAACAAGAUUGUGA